rnacentral:rRNA from 1 species
UCUUCCCUCUUUCCUCGUGCCUAAUACAUGCAAGUCGAGCGAACGGACGAGAAGCUUGCUUCUCUGAUGUUAGCGGCGGACGGGUGAGUAACACGUGGAUAACCUACCUAUAAGACUGGGAUAACUUCGGGAAACCGUAGCUAAUACCGGAUAAUAUUUUGAACCGCAUGGUUCAAAAGUGAAAGACGGUCUUGCUGUCACUUAUAGAUGGAUCCGCGCUGCAUUAGCUAGUUGGUAAGGUAACGGCUUACCAAGGCAACGAUGCAUAGCCGACCUGAGAGGGUGAUCGGCCACACUGGAACUGAGACACGGUCCAGACUCCUACGGGAGGCAGCAGUAGGGAAUCUUCCGCAAUGGGCGAAAGCCUGACGGAGCAACGCCGCGUGAGUGAUGAAGGUCUUCGGAUCGUAAAACUCUGUUAUUAGGGAAGAACAUAUGUGUAAGUAACUGUGCACAUCUUGACGGUACCUAAUCAGAAAGCCACGGCUAACUACGUG